GAUGAACGCUGGCGGCGUGCCUAAUACAUGCAAGUCGAGCGAACGGACGAGAAGCUUGCUUCUCUGAUGUUAGCGGCGGACGGGUGAGUAAAACGUGGAUAACCUACCUAUAAGACUGGGAUAACUUCGGGAAACCGGAGCUAAUACCGGAUGAUAUUCUGAACCGCAUGGUUCAAAAGUGAAAGACGGUCUUGCUGUCACUUAUAGAUAGAUCCGCGCUGCAUUAGCUAGUUGGUAAGGUAACGGCUUACCAAGGCAACGAUGCAUAGCCGACCUGAGAGGGUGAUCGGCCACACUGGAACUGAGACACGGUCCAGACUCCUACGGGAGGCAGCAGUAGGGAAUCUUCCGCAAUGGGCGAAAGCCUGACGGAGCAACGCCGCGUGAGUGAUGAAGGUCUUCGGAUCGUAAAACUCUGUUAUUAGGGAAGAACAUAUGUGUAAGUAACUGUGCACAUCUUGACGGUACCUAAUCAGAAAGCCACGGCUAACUACGUG
rnacentral:rRNA from 1 species